rnacentral:rRNA from 1 species
UACGUAGGGUGCAGGCGUUAAUCAGAAUUACUGGGCGUAAAGCGUGCGCAGGCGGUCUUUUAAGUCAGAUGUGAAAUCCCCGGGCUUAACCUGGGAACUGCGUUUGAAACUGGAAGGCUUGAGUGUGGCAGAGGGGGGUGGAAUUCCACGUGUAGCAGUGAAAUGCGUAGAGAUGUGGAGGAACACCGAUGGCGAAGGCAGCCCCCUGGGCUAACACUGACGCUCAUGCACGAAAGCGUGGGGAGCAAACAGG